rfam:Triticum urartu cultivar G1812 contig881125, whole genome shotgun sequence.
CACGUAUUCCCUCCGUUCCAAAUUACUUGUCUUGGAUUUGUCUAGAUAUGGAAGUAUCUAGCACUAAAAUGAGUUUAGAUACAUCCGUAUCUAGACAAAUCAAAGAUAAGUAAUUUAGAACAGAGGGAAUACCAA